rnacentral:ncRNA from 1 species
AAAGACUCAGUCCUAACCUUACUAUUGGUUUUUGCUAGACAUAUACAUGCAAGUAUCCGCACUCCAGUGAGAAUGCCCCCAAAACUUUACUUCCCAAAAGCAAAAGGAGCAGGUAUCAGGCACACUAAAACGUCGCCCAAAACGCCUUGCUAUAAGCCACACCCCCACGGGUAUUCAGCAGUAAUUGACAUUAAGCAAUAAGUGUAAACUUGACUUAGCCAUAGCAAGACUAGGGUUGGUAAAUCUUGUGCCAGCCACCGCGGUCAUACAAGAAGCCCAAAUCAAUAGUCACCCGGCGUAAAGAGUGGCCAUAUGUUAUCUUCACACUAAGAUUAAAACGGAACCAAGCUGUCAUAAGCCCAAGAUCCCUCUAAACCCAACCUAAAACUAUCUUAGUUCAAUGAUCAAUUUCAACCCACGAAAGCCAGGACACAAACUGGGAUUAGAUACCCCACUAUGCCUAGCCCUAAAUCUAGAUACCCAUAUACUUACUUACACAUCCGCCCGAGAACUACGAGCACAAACGCUUAAAACUCUAAGGACUUGGCGGUGCCCCAAACCCACCUAGAGGAGCCUGUUCUAUAAUCGAUAAUCCACGAUCUACCCAACCACCCCUUGCCAAUACAGCCUACAUACCGCCGUCGCCAGCCCACCUUCAAUGAAAGAACAACAGUGAGCCCAAUAGCCCCCACUAACAAGACAGGUCAAGGUAUAGCCCAUGGGGUGGAAGAAAUGGGCUACAUUUUCUAAGAUAGAACAAACGAAAAAGGACAUGAAACCAGUCCUUGGAAGGAGGAUUUAGCAGUAAAGUGGGAUCACCCUAAUAGCCCACCUUAAGACGGCCCUGAGGCACGUACAUACCGCCCGUCACCCUCUUCAAAAGCUACCAACACCAAUAAAUAAACCCACCCGCAAAGCCAAAGACGAGGCAAGUCGUAACAAGGUAAGUGUACCGGAAGGUGCACUUAGACUAC